AAUGCAAGCCGUUCUAUCGCUGUUUCAAUUUAUUGGGAGAGAGGAAAGUCCGGGCAACAUAGAGCGUCUCGCUUCCUAACGGGAAGGGGUUUGGGAUUGAAGACCUGAAUUACGGAAAGUGUUACAGAAAAUAUACCGUCACGACUUUACGUCGGGAUAAGGGUGAAAACGUGAGGUAAGAGCUCACGAUCUCGCUAAGUGAUUAGCGUUUUGGUAAACCCCGGGAGUUGAAAGACCAAAUAGGCUAACGUCCCGAUAGCUAUCGGGAUAAAGGGCUGCUCGUCCGAUGUUAGUGGGUAGGUCGUUAGAGCUAAACGGCGACGUUUAGACUGGAUUAAUGAUAGAAGUCCUGAUUUAUCGGGAAACAGAACCCGGCUUAUAGGCUUGCAUUUUUU
rnacentral:RNase_P_RNA from 1 species